AUCAAACGCUGGCGGCAUGCCUUACACAUGCAAGUCGAACGGCAGCACGGGAGCUUGCUCCUGGUGGCGAGUGGCGAACGGGUGAGUAAUACAUCGGAACGUACCCUGAAGUGGGGGAUAACGUAGCGAAAGUUACGCUAAUACCGCAUAUUCUGUGAGCAGGAAAGAGGGGGAUCGCAAGACCUCUUGCUUUAGGAGCGGCCGAUGUCGGAUUAGCUAGUUGGUGAGGUAAAGGCUCACCAAGGCGACGAUCCGUAGCGGGUCUGAGAGGAUGAUCCGCCACACUGGGACUGAGACACGGCCCAGACUCCUACGGGAGGCAGCAGUGGGGAAUUUUGGACAAUGGGCGCAAGCCUGAUCCAGCCAUGCCGCGUGAGUGAAGAAGGCCU
rnacentral:rRNA from 1 species